GCUGGGUGUGGUGGCGGGCGCCUGUAAUCCCAGCUACUUGGGAGGCUGAGGCAGGAGAAUCACUUGAACCCAGGAGGUGGAGGUUGCAGUGAGCCGAGAUCAUGCCACUGCACUCCAGCCUGGGUGACAGAGUGAGACUCUGUCUCAA
rnacentral:SRP_RNA from 2 species